CUGGAGGCUCUUGAGAGAGGCCCUUUGAAACAGUCUCUGGCUGGAAGACUCUUUGAGGAGGACUCUGGCUGGAACUCUCUCUGAGGAGACUGUCACUAGAAUCCUUGCAUAGACAGACCUUGUGUCAAUUCUCCACUCCUGUGGCCAUUCAAACAUUCACCUUCAGGAACAGGAACUGGAGGCAAAUUCAGCUGUGGCCUGAUUCUAAUCAGCUACGCUUCAUAAAGACUAAUG
rnacentral:lncRNA from 1 species